CCUCGUCGCGCUGCUGCGCUCCAAGAAGCUGCAAGCCCGCGACGCUGGGACGGAUCGCGCGGGGCGCGCCAGGCUCCAGCUCCCACGCUGUCUGGGGCUGACCACGUGGUAGCGUGGCUCCUGGGGGCUCCACCGCCCGUGCUUGGUUGAAAAGGGAAGAAGAAAGAAAAAGCAAAUGAGAUAAGGAUGGUCGGAUGAAAGAAGAGAUGUGGGGAAGGGGGCAGCCCAGCUCAGGGGUCCACGCAUGCUGAUGUGGUAAAUUUUAAAAUAUUAGAAAAUUUAUUAUUGGGAUCUACUAUGGGAUGAUAGAGUUUUGGGGAAAGAAAUUUUUAGUAGAACCUCGAAUAGAUAAUUUUAGGGAAGAAUUUUUUGGCAGACUCUUGGAGACGCUCUUGAUCGUCUUCCUCAACGCUACUGGUGAGGUUCCGAUGAGCUUUCACAAGGUUAGAUCUUGAGUUUUGAGAUUUGAUCAACAUGAUAAUCAUUAUUAAGGAAUGGAGCGAUUAUUAGGAAAAUGCAUAUAUGACAGGCUUGCAUGCCGCGGUGCGGGAGGCAAAGGAUGAGGUGGCGAGGAUGUCACGUACUAAUGUUUCCACCGAAAAUAUGUUUUGCACUCAAAACAUUCCCGUGCAACAAC
rnacentral:lncRNA from 1 species